UUUUGCCUAACUUCUUGAAACUCUUCCUCAUCAUCACCAUUUGAUAAGUACAUAACAUUCAUCAAAUAAUCAUUCUCAUCCUCUGAACCACUAUCACUUUCAUCCCUAACCCCUUUCUCACCACUUCCAUCACUCUCACUACCUUCGCUGACAGCAACAUCACCACCUUCCCCACCUAAACCUUCAGCAACCUCACCACCUUCCCCAAUACAUUAACUCUCAACACCCUCACCACCUUUACUUCCAGCAACCUCAGCAUUCUCACCCCCAUCACCUCCC
rnacentral:lncRNA from 1 species